ensembl:lncRNA
ACUAUCACAUUGAUUUGUUUUGAAGAUACCUGGUUUUCACAGGAUGUCGAAGUUUAUUUUUUGCUUGAUAAGUGACUUCCGUUAUUAAUCAAUCAUUACUAUUGCUGUUACUACUACUACUAAAACUGGACCAAAUACUAGCUCAAUUUUCAAAAUAAACAUAAAAAAUAUAUAUAUUUUGGUGGUGCGCCCUGGUACCGGUCAGGUGAGGUAACCUGGGUAACAAGGUCUGGUGUGAUUACGUGGAGUAACCAAAGACGAAGCGAGGUAACCUGAGGUUUUGCGGGGUAACGUGAGGUUAGCGCUGUUAGCAGCGUUAGCUAUGAGACACUACAUAAACUUAACAAAACCCUUUUUAGAUAUCCAUCUAUUUUCCUCGCAAAAACACCUCGCUGGUUUGAAUCCCGGGUGGAUGUAUCCAUGCACUGACGCUUACGAGACAUCUUCAUUUGUUUCCACCGACGACCGUGGUGCCCUUUGGCAAGGCACAGCAACCGGCCGACUCCUGCAGACUGGACGGUGCUGUUGGAGUAAACGUCUCUGCGGCGAGAGCCGGUUGAAUUCCCCAGCGAGCAGCUGUCACCACGUCACCCGCUAAUGGAAAACAACACAGUGUUUACCUCGCCGUCUCCAACCCUUCAUCUCCUUCCCGAGAUGGAUACAAAGGUUCAACUCCACUGCCUUUUAAAAAAAAUGUAUUUCUCACCUCAGUGUGUACAAUAAAACGACUCUUAAACACUCACACGCCCCCUAUUUCCUCUAAGCCGCCUUGUGGUCGUUUUGUUUUCUCCGGAUGCGAGUGGAACCUUAUUUCAUCUGUGCAGAAAUGAACUCACAGCAGACCAGGGGGGGCCUGCGCGCACAGACACACACUGCUGUGUGCUGGGAGGCUUAGUUUCUCUGUUUCUGGGAGAGUUCAGCAGCGCUCACCUGCUGUGUGCAUGUAAAGCAGCAAAUGUUUCUUAAUGGGAGAAGUCCUGUAUGUGUUUGGGUGCAUCACCUUUGGUUCACUUCUUCCUGUCAGACGUUAUCUGAGUUAAUUGGUAAAGGGACGAGUCUUGAAAUGCUAAAUGGGCAAAGUGAGACAAAGAACUGUCAGUAUCGAUUCCCACUGACGGAGAGGAAAAACGCAAGAAGACAAGUAUUAAUGACGUGAAAACACAAACGGGAGGGAAACCGACGCGCAGGAGUUGAGAUACACAAUGAUACACAAUGAUUGUGGCGUCAGUUCUCAGAGGUUGUGUGUCUGUCAGACGCUCUUCCUCUUCUGUAGAAGCCUCAGCAGAAGCUGGAAAGGGACUUUUGCUUCAACCAGUUAGAACUUUCCAAAAGAACAGAAGAACCUUUUUGGUUUUGGUUUGUAGUCUGAGACGUGAUGUGUCGGGUUUUGUCCUUUGUUGGAUAAAAUAUGUCAAAAACACACGGUGGGAUUCCGAACGAAAACCGUUAAUGUCUUUUCUCGAUGCAUGAAUGUUAAUUUAGAUUCCUGUUGAAGACAUUUUUCUUUUACGUCCGUAAGAUGUCCGCAGGGUUCGUUGAUGUCGUCUCUCAGCUCUCGCGCCGUCCUCGAGUCUCGAGUUGCUAACUGAAGGCUACAUCCAAAACUCACAUUCAAACUAUUCUUCAUCUGGCGUGACCAACUGAAUUUGUGUUUAACGGCCCCGUCUUCCGUGCAUGUGCCCCUCGCCGCUAGCCAGCCGCUAGCUAGCCGCUAACUAGCCGCAGCGUCCCUCCGCUGCCUCUGAGGCCCGUGGAAGCCGUGCGGAUGAGUUCUUGUGCCGCGCGUCUCCGAGGGGGAACAUCAGCCGGCUUCGGCGUGCACUGGAGUGUGAAACGGAGAAGGGGUUUAGGGCCUUUCAGAGUGGCACUUAGUGAACAAACGCUGCCCCCCGCUGUUUGUGUUUGAAGCACGUAAAGGCGCGCUGCCAGGACGGCCGCUUUGUGUGUAAAAAUGGUCAAGCAUGAAUAUCUUAUGGCAGUCGAUGUACAUUUUGAAUCCCCUCUGUUGACUUCCAUGACCUGUGUGUGUGUGUUUGUGCGUGCGUGUGAGUGCAGUGCUCAUUAAUGCUUACGUCAGCCAUCUUUUUCUGUCGGCUGCAUUUUAAUGGAGCAGGACUCCUCCAGGCACCUGAUACCCUCUGAAUGACUACAUGUAUGAGUGUGUCUCUGUGUGUGCGCUAGCGUAUGCCUUCCAGCGCGCGUGUGGGAGGAUGCGCACUGUGUGUGUCUGUGUGUGUAACAGUGAACAGAUCUCGGGCUAUAAAUAUCGUGUCCGUUAGCUGAUGCUGAGCUAUAAAUAGACGCAUUUGGACCCGGUGCCUGGGGGGGGGGCAGCAGGAGAACUGCAUCCAGGUGUGACGUCAGAAGAACCACAGUUUGCUUUGUCUCGUUCUAUUUGUGUUCCCGGUAAUACGUUGGAGCUGCUGGUGUUUGUUUGUGUGCUUCGGGGAAGGCUUCACCUGAAAAGAAGUAUAUUCCUCUUAUUCCUCUUAUGCUUCAUAGUUUGAAGUUGAAAAUAUCUGCUGAAUAAAAUGUCUGCAUGAGGUGAUCUUCAACAUUUUUGCUGUUUUACUGUGUGUUUUUAAGGACUGUGGUUUGUUUCAAACCUCACGUCUUAAACUCAAACUACUACAUUUUUUGGAAGGUGAGGAUAUUUUUGGACACUCCUCACUUAAAGAGCUUUGAAGGAACAACACAGUUGAGUUUACUUCCACACAGUUUACCGAGAGAGAAGUAGAGUAAUUUUUUCAUAGACUUCUAUUAGACCAGAGGAGUCGCCCCCUGGUGGUCACUAGUGAGAAUGCAUUGGCUUCAGCGGGCGUCCGGCUGUGAGCGACUGGCCUUCAUCAAUGCUCAGGUCAGGAUUACGUGUAUUUAGUGAAGGUGGUUGAGGUUCGAGUAGCGAAUGCAUCAUGACGUUGACUGUCGCCAAACUGUUCAUGUUGCUCAUGGCAGCCUCGGUGUGAGAGGAGGCCAUCUGCGCCGCCACAUGCAAGAAGCCUGUCUGUGUGUGUGUGUGUGUGUGUGUCUGAUUUAUAAUGGAAAGAGAAAAAAACAAGAGCGACUACACACAUACACACACACUCUGCAUUGGCUGCAGAAAAAUCCGACGCAACAUCUGCACACGUGAGGGAGAUGUGUAAAGAGUGUGUGUGUGUUUUGAGGUGACAGCUGAUGUCUGAAAUUUGGAGCGGCCAAAGUCAAACCCACAUGAGGAAAUGUAGAGGGCUGAUCUGAACACACACACAGACAGACAGACACACACACACACUCACUGAUAUCCUUCCCUUCACAUCUGUCUCACCAGGAAUUGAAGCUGCCGCCUGCACGACUUUAUCAUUAAUAAAUUAUCCGAGUACCAGCUCACCUUUCAGGAUAAAUCGUAUUCAGAGUUUUACACGGUGACGUUUUGGAGGAUGUUUGUAUUUUUCGCUGCAGAGAUAAUGAAAACUAGGGAACUUGUCUCUUUUUCAAAGAAUCGUCCAAAUGAGCAAAGAGUGCUAACCCUCUCCGCCCUCCACUCCCCUCUCAGUUCAAUAUUAAGACAAAACAAUGUUGUGCACAGUCCUCUAAACCAGCAGUGACUCAGUUUAAACUCAUUACACACACACGCACACACACACACACUGCAGAUUGACUUGGUUAGCAGCUUUCUGAGUCACUUGUUUAUUAAAUUUCCACGGCUCCUUUCAGGAUUCCUCACUUUGCCCUUUUCUUUUCUCCCAGCAGACGUGUUUACCGUGAAGCGGGAAGCCUGCCGGUGUGGUUAACGACAAUAACGACGGCUCUCCUCCUCAUUGGUUCAGAUGUUUCUCCAAUGGCAUAAGAACCCUGUCGUCCUCAUGUUUGGAACACGACCUGCGCCACGUUGUCAUUGCAACACAACAGCUAACACGCUAACAAGCUAACAUGCUAACUUGCCGGGCCGCUGUGAGCAUGUUUGGCCGGCAAGCGGCGAACAGCUGUUCCUUUGGCCGGUGGUCCUUUUCAGCGUCAAUGAAUGAAUGUGUUUACUCAAAAAAAAGCAGCUGUUCGCGGCCGGUUUUUAACCGCUGGCCAGAUGCGAGAGAUAAACAGCUGUUCAGCUGGCCGGUGUCCUUUUCAGCGUCAACGAAUGAAUGUGUUUACUCAAAAAGAAAUACUUUGAUGUACCGGGAUACCGUACAGAAUACCGUGAUGUGAACACGGCCCAGCCCUACUCUGACGUGUCAAUCAACUAAAAGUGACGUUAGCUGCUUGGACGAAAUCACAACGGCAGCGUAAUGGCAUCAGCCACGUAAGCAACGGCUUUAAUUUACCGUUCACGGAAGUUUGAUUUGGUGAUUUUGUAUUUGCAGUCACCGGUUACCUCCGUAUCAACAGACUUCACAACUGUUUGUUAAGCCUCUACAUUGUGGAGACAUUAGUCCACUGCAGCCGCCGUGCGUCUUUCACCAUUUCUUGUAGUCAGACGUUCAAAGUUCUCAUUUCCCCUUAAAAUGGAGUUAAAACUGUCUGUAGCUACACUAUACAUCCUGAUAUCUGUGUGUGUGUGUGUGUGUGUGUGUGCGCGUCUAGCACAACCAAAAACAUAAACACACACAUUCAUUCCUGAACAUGCGGCAACAAGAUGUCAACUCAUUAUUCAAGUAAUCUUUGAAGGCUCAGCAGUCGCAUAAAUAUGUAUUGUUACCGUGCAGCUGUCAUAAAAUUAUGCAAUGCCGGUCUCGUAGUAAUUGUAUUUUUCCCAUUUGCUGCUGAAGCUGUCUGUGGGUAUUUGGUAUUGCAACGUUGCAGCGACGUGUCCAGAGAAUUUAUUAACACAACACCCGGUGGAACGGAAAGAGUGUGUUUGGAGCAGUGAUCAAUAACUCCCCUGUGAAAAAGUGUGCUUUUCUAAAAAAGACCCAGAUUUUCUCUGUAUUGAUCGGAACAUCACCUCCGAGGCUCAGAUGUUCUCAAAUAAAACAGAUGAUCCUGACAACACAAAACAGUGUGUAGUGAAAUAAGGGGAGUGAACUGCUCGCAACAAAUGUUCCAGUAGGAAACAAGCUUAAAAGCUACGAAAUGACUAUUCGUAGAAACAUUUAAGUUAAAGUUGUUUAUGUAUAUUUAAUGUGACCGAAUUAUUUUGAGUUC